rnacentral:rRNA from 1 species
UGGCUCAGAAUCACGCUGGCGGCGUGCUAACACAUGCAGUCGAACGAGAAGUACCUUCGGGGUGGAGUAAGUGGCAACGGGUGAGUACGCGUGGGAUAUCUACCCUGAUGAGAGGAAUAACUCUCCGAAAGGAGAGCUAAUACCGCAUAAUCCGGAAACGGGAAAGGCCUUAUGGUCGCAUCUGGAGGAGCCCGCGUCCGAUUAGCUGGUUGGUGAGGUAAUUGGCUCACCAAUGCGACGAUCGGUAGCCGGUCUGAGAGGACGGACGGUCACACUGGGACUGAGACACGGCCCAGACUCCUACGGGAGGCAGCAGUGGGGAAUUUUGGGCAAUGGGGGAAACCCUGACCCAGCAACGCCGCGUGGAGGAAGAAGGUUUUCGAAUCGUAAACUCCUGUCCCACGAGAAGAAGCAAGUGACGGUAUCGUGGGAGGAAGCCCCGGCUAACUCCGUGCCAGCAGCCGCGGUAAUACGGGGGGGGCGAGCGUUGUUCGGAAUUACUGGGCGUAAAGGGCGCGUAGGCGGUUUCGGAAGUCAAGGGUGAAAGCCCCGAGCUCAACUCGGGAAUUGCCUUUGAAACCACGGAACUAGAGUGCUGGAGAGGAAAGCGGAAUUUCCAGUGUAGCGGUGAAAUGCGUAGAUAUUGGAAGGAACAUCUGAGGCGAAGGCGGCUUUCUGGACAGACACUGACGCUGAGGCGCGAAAGCCAGGGGAGCGAACGGGAUUAGAUACCCCGGUAGUCCUGGCUGUAAACGAUGAACACUUGGUGUGGGGGGUAUAAAGUCCCUCCGUGCCGAAGAUAACUCGAUAAGUGUUCCGCCUGGGGAGUACGGCCGCAAGGCUGAAACUCAAAGGAAUUGACGGGGGCCCGCACAAGCGGUGGAGCAUGUGGUUUAAUUCGACGCAACGCGAAGAACCUUACCGGGGUUUGAACUGUACCGGCGACAUCCAGAGAUGGAUGGUUUCCUUCGGGAACUGGUAUAGAGGUGCUGCAUGGCUGUCGUCAGCUCGUGUCGUGAGAUGUUGGGUUAAGUCCCGCAACGAGCGCAACCCUUGUCUGUAGUUGCCAUCAGGUUAAGCUGGGCACUCUACGGAGACUGUCGGCGAUAAGCCGGAGGAAGGUGGGGAUGACGUCAAGUCCUCAUGGCCUUUAUGUCCCGGGCUACACACGUGCUACAAUGGAUGGAACAGAGGGCAGCAAGCCUGCGAAGGCAAGCGAAUCCCAAAAAUCCAUUCUCAGUUCGGAUUGCAGUCUGCAACUCGACUGCAUGAAGUUGGAUCGCUAGAAUCGCGGAUCAGAUGCCGCGGGAAUACGUUCCCGGGCCUUGUACACACCGCCCGUCACGUCACGAAAGUGGGCUGUACUAGAAGCCG